rnacentral:rRNA from 1 species
CGAGCACGCGCGUGUGGCAUAUCAAUAAGCGGAGGAAAAGAAACUAACAAGGAUUCCCUUAGUAACGGCGAGUGAAGCGGGAAGAGCUCAAAUUUGAAAUCUUCAAGGUUCUACCUUGACGAAUUGUAGUUUAUAGAAGUGUUUUCUGUUAGUAGGAGUGGCAAAAGUUCUUUGGAAUAGGACAUCAUAGAGGGUGAGAAUCCCGUAUUUGGUCAUUCUUCUAGCGUUGUGAUACACUUUCAACGAGUCGGAUUGUUUGGGAAUGCAGUCCAAAAUGGGUGGUAAAUUUCAUCUAAAGCUAAAUAUUGGCGAGAGACCGAUAGCGAACAAGUACCGUGAGGGAAAGAUGAAAAGAACUUUGAAAAGAGAGUUAAACAGUACGUGAAAUUGUCAAAAGGGAAGCGUUUGACACCAGUGUUGUUUUUCCGAAAAUCAAUUACGAAUGUUUUGUUUUUGAGGAGUUAUGACUUCAUCGGCUUGCUUCUCUCUUUAUCGAAACUUUCUUAAUGCACUUUUCGGUUAACAAGUCAACAUCAAUUUCUUUUGUUGUAAAAGGGUAUGAGGAAGGUGGCUUUCUUUUCGGAGAAAGUGUUUAUAGCCUUGUGCCUCUGCAAUCGGAGAGAUUGAGGUCUGCAGGCGUAGAUCCUUCGGGGUUAGAUACGUUUGUGCUAAGUUAUAGCUUUUCAUAGACAACUUGUUGACUAUGUUUAGUCUUGUAGCUUACUCGCUGACGCUAUUUUACCUACGCUUAGGAUGUUGAGUAGCGACAUACGCAC